GUUAUACUCCCUCCGUUCGGAAUUACUUGUCUCGGAAAUGGAUGUAUCUAGAACUAAAAUACGUCUAGAUACAUCCAUUUCCGCGACAAGUAAUUCAGAACGGAGGGAGUAUAUG
rnacentral:pre_miRNA from 1 species